GAUGAACGCUGGCGGCGUGCCUAACACAUGCAAGUCGAACGGACUUACAUUGAAGCCUAGCGAUAUGUAAGUUAGUGGCGGACGGGUGAGUAACGCGUGGGUAACCUGCCUUGUACUGGGGGACAACAGUUGGAAACGACUGCUAAUACCGCAUAAGCGCACAGCUUCGCAUGAAGCAGUGUGAAAAACUCCGGUGGUACAAGAUGGACCCGCGUCUGAUUAGUUAGUUGGUGAGGUAACGGCUCACCAAGACUGCGAUCAGUAGCCGGACUGAGAGGUUGAACGGCCACAUUGGGACUGAGAUACGGCCCAGACUCCUACGGGAGGCAGCAGUGGGGAAUAUUGGGCAAUGGGCGAAAGCCUGACCCAGCAACGCCGCGUGAAGGAAGAAGGUUUUCGGAUUGUAAACUUCUUUUAUCAGGGACGAAGAAAGUGACGGUACCUGAUGAAUAAGCCACGGCUAACUACGUG
rnacentral:rRNA from 1 species